rnacentral:rRNA from 1 species
CCUACGGGAGGCAGCAGUGAGGAAUAUUGGUCAAUGGACGAGAGCCUGAACCAGCCAAGUAGCGUGAAGGAUGACUGCCCUAUGGGUUGUAAACUUCUUUUAUAUGGGAAUAAAAUGUUCCACGUGUGGGAUUUUGUAUGUACCAUAUGAAUAAGGAUCGGCUAACUCCGAGCCAGCCGCCGCGGUAAUAAGGAGGAUCCGAGCGUUAUCCGGAUUUAUUGGGUUUAAAGGGAUCGUAGGUGGAUUGUUAAGUCAGGUGUGAAAGUUUGGGGCUCAACCGUAAAAUUGCAGUUGAAACUGGCAGUCUUGAGUGCAGUAGAGGUGUGCGGAAUGCGUGGUGUAGCGGUGAAAUGCUUAGAUAUCACGAAGAACCCCGAUUGCGAAGGCAGCUCACUGGACUGCAACUGACACUGAGGCUCGAAAGUGUGGGUAUCAAACAGGAUUAGAUACCCGAGUAGUC